GUCGCAGUGGUGUAAUGGUAGCAUUUUAGACUGUGGAUCUGAAUGUGCGGGUUUGAUUCCCGCCUGCGGCC
rnacentral:tRNA from 1 species